GUACAACAGCCCAACAGCCGAAGCUCGGUCUUCAGCCGCAACCGCCGCUCGGUCUCCAGCAGCCGCAGAUCCAUCUCAGCAGCGAAAUCCCCCGGUAGCAGGUCGACGCGGGGCUUGGUUGCCGGCUUGGUUUACAAGCGAAAUCUGGUGACUUCUAACCUUUGUUAUUUCAUUCUUCAUUCUGCAUUCUUUCAUUCUUCGUAUUAUACUAGUAAUUGAGUAUAGUUUGGUUGCUGGAGUAUUUCUUUGAAUUUGUGUGAGCCUUGUAUUACUUGCUGCUGCUUUGCUAUUACCAUCGUUUAUGUCUUUAUAUCUUUAUAUUAUCUUUAUAUUCUCUUAUACUUUCGUGUAGUUGUGGCUGUGGGCGGUAAUGGGUGGAUAGGGUCAUGUCCGAGGGGGUUGGGGCGUGGGGCCGUGGUGGGGGC
rnacentral:lncRNA from 1 species